rnacentral:rRNA from 1 species
CAGCCGCCGCGGUAAUACCGGCGGCCCGAGUGGCGGUCACUAUUAUUGGGCCUAAAGCGUCCGUAGCCGGGCUGGUAAGUCCUCCGGGAAAUCUGGUCGCUUAACGAUCAGACUUCCGGAGGAUACUGCUGGCCUAGGGACCGGGAGAGGCCGAGGGUAUUCCCGGGGGAGGGGUGAAAUCCUAUAAUCCCGGGAGGACCACCUGUGGCGAAGGCGCUCGGCUGGAACGGGUGCGACGGUGAGGGACGACGGCCAGGGGAGCAAAGCGGAUUAGAUACCCGGGUAGUCCUGGCUGUAAACGAUGCGGACGUUGUGUCGGACAAGCUAUGAGCUUGUCCGGUGCCGGAGGGAAACCGUUAAGUCCGCCGCCUGGGGAGUACGGCCGCAAGGCUGAAACUUAAAGGAAUUGGCGGG